ensembl:lncRNA
GGAGGGUUUGGAUACAGACAUUGAUGUUGAGAUGCUCAGACAGCUCUCCUCCUCGGGCAGUCGUAUGGUGCAGCACCACCCCUCUCUGAACACCUACACCCUGUCUGUGGGCACCGAGCCGGGCGGCGCACCACCCAACCUACAAGCCGACAUCCUGGAACUGUACAGACUGAUCCUUAGCCAUUGUCAAGGGAAGGGAGGAGUUGCCUUUCGGCAGAGCUCAGACUCUCCGCACAUUGCCCAAGAAUGUGAUGACGGCCUGGAGACCAGAGAUUGUGGUUGUGAAGAGGCACCGCUCGACUCCCUUGAGACGAGAGAACGAGGGUUCACUCCUUUUAGCACAGAGGAAAACAAAGGAGAACGUAAUGACCGUCUGGAUCCCUCGCAAAUCAGGGAGGGUGACGGAGAUCCCUCGCUCAGCUGUGAAACUGACCCGGCUCUCCUACACAAUGGCAAUAGCGCAGAUCAGCGAGUGUGUGCUUGUGAAAACAGUGAGACUGAUUGCGGAGAGCAAGAAAAUCAUUCAACUAGUGGUCUAGUUAGUACCGGUGACAUUGGAGAUAGUAGUGAUGGUUUGCAGAGCGGUUCUGAGAGCAUAGUCCACAGAAGCUCUUCCUGUGGACAACAGAAAGAGGAAGCUGAUAAAGCGGACGACUUAAUCUGUGAAACACCGGUUUGUGCUGAGGGACCCAAGGAGGAAAAUCAGGAAAAAGGACACAAGUUUGUGGAGGAGAAAGAGCUAUCUGAACGUAGCCCCAUCGUUGAGGCAGGAGAUAUGGGAAUUACUCAGUCUUUGGACACGCCGGAAAGCUCGGAUGUUGAAUCUUGUUCUCAGGGUGUAGAGACUGAUGAUGAAGAAGAGGAUGAGUGCGGAGAUCUCAUAGAUCCAGAGGAGGUUCUAGAAGAAAGCAAUAAACCACUGGAUCUAAAUCCUGAUGGAGAUACACCUCUGGAUUGCUCGCGACAAAAUUUGGUGCAUGCUUGUGAAGACAUUUGUGAUAAAACCGAUGACACAGGAACCCAGCUAGAGGGAGGCGUUUGUGAGAAGAUCACGUGUAAUGUGGAAGGUACGCAAGAUCUUGAUUCUUCAGGAACCUGUGAUCAAGAAGACACUGAUGAGGAGUUUCAGGAGAGUCUAGAAAUGCCAUACUUUGAAACAGAUGGCAACCAACCGAAGGAAAAACUUAGUGAUACAACCUCAAGGACUAUGGUUGAUGAAGAUGAGAGCAUUUUACACCUGCAUGAAGUAAAUCGAGAACUGUUGCCUGUAGAAAAGUCAAUUCCUUCAAUUGAAGAAAGUGAGUUUGACGAACAGAAACUAAAUUCCUGCAGUGUCUUACAAGCUCAGUUUGGUCCAGAACCUGGAUCUUCCACAGCAACUAGUGAGGACACCUUAGAAGAUCUAGAGGUUCUUUUAGGUAUAAGUUUUGAGAGGAUGAAGAACGUUCAAGGGAAACAGAAACACCAACCCCUUUGGGAAGCUCAGGCAUCAGAGGAGGAAGUUCUUGAGUCAGCGAUUCCCGCAGAUGCGGAGAAAGUGAAUCUCCCAGAUGACUCCUCUCAGGAUCCCAGACAGGAUAUGACCUCAAAAAGUGAGGUCAUGCAGGGCACAGCAGCAGUAGACCUUUCAGAAGAGGUUGUGGGUGUAGUUAUUGUAAACACAGAUGAAUCGGGAGAUCAAUGUGUCUUGGUGGAUACCUCAGACAUAUUAGCUACGUCAAAUGAGUUUGGAAUCUCGGAGGAAAGCCUGGCAGUCAAAGCAGAAGAUCUGUUGGGUGUUUCGCUCCACACUGACCAUCUAGAUGGUGCCUUACAUGUCCCAAAUGCUCUUGCUGAGGAUGACAUUAUAGUUUCUUCUGUAUCUCCUGAGCAAGCCCAAGCAAGCUUAGAUCCUGUGUCUCAAGAGACAGAAGCCACCGUGCAGGAAGCUGUUCAACCAAUGGGUGAAGAAGACCUACUGAAGAAUCCAACUGAAUAAUUGAAAGUAGCCUGUGCUUCUACGACACGCACAUGCCUGAGUGAACAGGGUGUAUUCAUCAUGAUUUAUGUACAUAACAAAAAGUAGCUUAGCAACAGGUGAUGUCAUUAUGGGAUGUCCAGGGAUGUGAAGUUACAAGAUGAGGUCAGCAUCCAUUUCCUGAACUUUUUUGGUACACCCAUGUUUUUAAAGCAUAUUGUUAUCUUUGCGAAGUUACGUAACUGAAAUACAAUAGCCAGACUUACCAUUUCCAGAAACAUGCCUGUUUGGUUGAUGUUUUUAUUUCAUUUAUCAUUUAAUAAAUAAUGACUCCGAUAUAUCAUUCUUGAGUGAAUUUAUUUUCAUGAACAAAUGUGUACUGUUUGAUCUUUUUGAUUGUUUAUAUCUGACUGAUUAAAGUUAUUGUAUGUUCUCUCACAGAGUCAGAUGCAUGUUUGGAGGAUCAGACGGACUCCCAGAAGACAAUGUGGCUUGAUAUCACAGACAAAAAAGAUGCACCAAAGGUUAGUACUAAAAAUAUAGUGUUUUUAGACAAUAUAUAUUUAAUUUACUGCACUUCACUUACGAAAUAUGCUGUGGGUGUAUGUUGUGACAUGAAUGAAAUCCCAUGAUAUUUAUGUUGCAAAAAUACUAGGGCUGUCAGUCGUUUAUUAUUGUUUCUGUCACUUCUUUGUUUUAUGCUGAUGGAUGAUUUUGACUGUGAAGUUUCACUGUGUUUCAGAUCAUUAUUGUGCAAUAUAUUUUUAAAAAGUUAUCAAAUUGAUAUAAUCGCCUAAAAAGACAAGUGUGAUUUUUUAACCAAAAUAGGCUCGUGUUUUUUGUUAUGAUCCCUGUCAGCAAGAUCCUGAACAUUCAGUGAGGGGGCAAUAUUUACAGUUGUUUUGAAGUAAAUAAUUUUGAGCACCAAGUUCCAAAUGGGGGCAAUAUUUCACUGAGAACAUAAUGUAACGUCCUGUUACUCAGCAGCAUUUCGGUCGGGUCCCCAUGGUGCGGGCCCAUGUAUAACCAAUAACAGAUGUGGUCCUCCCUUUCACCUGCUAGUUAUGAAAAGAUCUGAGAAUUAUUAUAAACAUCUGAAUAUCCAGCAUGUAAUAUAUCUUUGUACAUGUGGAGCCAGCGCUAGAAUAAAGAAGAGAAAUACACUACCAUUCAAAAGUUUUAUUUUAUUUUAUUUUAUUUUUUUAA